rfam:Treponema succinifaciens DSM 2489, complete genome.
GGGCGAUUAGCUCAGCUGGUAGAGCAACAGACUCUUAAUCUGUGGGUCGGGAGUUCGAUCCUCCCAUCGCUCA